GUUCGUAAUGCGGCCUUCAGUUCCGUUCUUACCUCCUGAGCGUAUUUCACAGAAGACCUUUUUUUCUUUAAAUUCCUUGCUGUAGCUGACCUUAAGGGGAUGAGCAGAGAGAAGAGGCUGAAUAUUUUCGUCUCCGGAAACCUGUUUUGAUGGUGAUCUUAAGGAGUGCGGAGGUCCUGGAAUCUUACCCUUCCUGAUUGGGUGUGUAUGGGCCUGCUUUGGUGUCAAGGAAGAAUGUAUCACAGACAAACCUCCAAUACUAUCAGUUGGCAAACCAGUGGAAUUCAAUUCUGGGUGUGAAGUGCAUAAGGAAGAGGAAUCUAAAGCUAGGCUUCCCAAAAUAAUGACCAAAAUAAAAUGCCAAGGUUGUCUUGACCAAACAACCUGAGAAAAUUGGAUUCCAGGCAAAGGAAAUGUAACCAGAGAAGGUACAGGGAAUGCCCCUAGCAGUCAGGAGAGAGUUGCUAUAGUAUAAGGUAGAGCCUAGAAAGAUUCUUGAGUGCCCUGUUUCAAAACAUCUCUUUGCUUGU